GUUUGUUUAGAUUUAACAAAUGCAAUGAAAGAGCUAAAAGUGCACAUUAAUUUGCAUUAUAAACUUUCUAAAAAUUGUGCCAUGUUGAAUCAGGUGCUAUGUAUAUUGUCUACCAACACAUUCUCAUUGACAAAUAAUCCGAGAAAAAAUUAUGUAUAUUCUCCAAUGGCUAGCCUAAGAUUAAGAACUCUAGUAUUUCUGUGUUUGCAGUUGCCUUUAACAGUAAGCAGAAGUAUUCCUAACUACCUACCUGUGGUGUACUCAUGUAAGGUUCAAGAAUCCUGGCAUGUUACAUCAUGGAUGAUGCAGAUGCAUAAUACAUAA